rnacentral:rRNA from 1 species
UACGGAGGGUGCAAGCGUUAUCCGGAUUCACUGGGUUUAAAGGGUGCGUAGGCGGGCCGGUAAGUCAGUGGUGAAAUCUCCCGACUCAAUUGGGAAAUUGCCAUUGAUACUACCGGUCUUGAGUUCAGUUGAAGUAGGCGGAAUGUGUCAUGUAGCGGUGAAAUGCAUAGAUAUGACACAGAACACCGAUUGCGAAGGCAGCUUGCUAAACUGACACUGACGCUGAGGCACGAAAGCGUGGGGAUCAAACAGG